GCUGAUUAAACAGCAGCAGCGAAGAAACUGUAAUCCUCAGCCUGGGGAACCUGGGAAGGCAGGGAAUGAAGACCAGAUGACAAAGAGGCGCCCCUGCCCUGGCCCUUCCUCCUGGGAAAUCUUUCCCACACCUGCCCCCCACUCAGGAAGGAGCGGAAAGACAGGAGCAAGAGAUCAGAGAGGGCUCUCUUGGAAGACGGAAAAGGCAGGCUUGGGGUUUUCUCCACCCAACCGAAACGAGAUCAUGAAGUCAGUGCUGACUUUCUUGGAGCCUCUCUGAGCCUCGUUUGUAGAAACCAGACAGACGUGUGCCCGGAUGAAGGAGGAACUGAUGCACGGCGUGGGAGAAGUGGCCACCCGUCUCGGCAGCGACCUUUCUCUUUCCACUGGGGAGAAAAGGCCACCACGUGGGAGACGAGAAGGCAGAGGGUCUGGCCACCAAGGGCUGCAGGAGUGUCCUCACAGAAGACAGGAAUGGAAGGACAAACAUCAGAUGCAGGGAUGGAGCGAAGCUGCGGAAGCAGCUCCAGGAACCUCCGGAAGUUGAAAGAGGCAAAGACUACUUCUCCUCCAGAGAUUUUUGCAGUAAUUUCUUAGAGCAGCCUCAGGAAACCAAUACGCCUUGCAAAAGCCAUGAUGCCAUUUUGCAGAUGGGGCAGCUGAGGCACAAGGAAGAAAAGCCCUCUGUCUAAAAAAAAAUUAAGACGUGUUAUGUACAUGCCACCAACUCCCCAUGAUAAAAACAAGUGUUACGUGCUGCAAACAUGCACAUACUGAUACAAAAUAAAAGCGGGCAGUUGGGAGUGAAGGCAGGAUUCCAACUCGGGUCUGUCUGAACCUCGUAUGGCCAAGGCCACCCUUCGAGAAGGGGCAUUUCUGUAGGAGAGAAGUUCCAGCAAAGAGCCAGGGAGGCUGAGGUGAGAUCUGCUGCCAGCAUGCUCUCCUAGGCUGUGUGUCCAUGGGGGUCCCACCAGCACCCCACCCAGCCCCAGCUCCAUCCACCCCCAAGCCUCCUCUCUCCAGAGCUGAGAAGUGCCAUGGGAACUCAAGGGACAAGGGACAAAGCAGCUCUGCUCACAGCUGGACCAGAACCAUCUUCCUCUACGGAAGCUGCCUGACCUCAGGGUGGGCAAAGAGGUACUGACCCUGCCCUGCGGCCCAUGGCUGAGUGUUUACCUAGAAGUGGGGGCAGGCAGGCACCCAGGCAAUAGCAUUUAAGGAGGUUCUGGCUCUCAAGGUCCUGCAAAUGCCAACUUUGGGCUUGUGUGGAUAUGCAAAUGAGUGCUUCCUUAAAAGCUUCCUGCCCUAUUCCUGCCCUUACCUAGGGUUGAUUUAUAGAGGACCAAAAGACCUGGGGGUGGGGCAUUGGCAGCUGUUGGUCUUCAGAGUCUCACAGACAGGGGUUCAAAUCCUGAUUUUAGCCACUUAGUACCUGAGUGACCGUGGAUGGGUCUGUUCCUAUGCAUGGACUCAAUUUUCUCAUCUAUACAGCAGGGAUUAUAGAAUAAAAUCCACUUUCUCAGUAGUUAUGGAUGAGAAGAGUCGCAUGUAAAGUGCCUGGCACUCAGUAACUUAGCACUUAUUACCUUUUUUUUUUUUUUAAGCUCAGAAAGAGGAAAUCAGGGGGUGGCAGAGAAUAAUGGCCGCAUGGGAAUCAAUGGGUGGUUCCCUGGAGCUCAGCAGGAUUGGUAAUUUCUCCUUGAAGCAAAGCCAGGAUGAGGCUGGGA
rnacentral:lncRNA from 1 species